UAAAGAUACUAAAAUGAUAUUCAAACUUCAUUUGGUCUCUGGUGGAAAAUAGUCUCAAUCAUACCACCGUAAAUCUUGUUUUUUAUAUAUGAUUAUCCGAAAACAAAGUGACUUUCCAAUGGCAAAUAAAAAAAUAAAAAAAAAACCAAAAGCGAUAAAAAGACAAACAACUGUACACAAUACACAACAUAGCAAACUUAAGAAUGAGCAAACGAACCUCACCGAAAACUGAAGGUUAUCUCAGACCGAC
rnacentral:lncRNA from 1 species